UACGUAGGGUGCGAGCGUUGUCCGGAAUUAUUGGGCGUAAAGGGCUCGUAGGCGGUCCGUUGCGUCAGGAGUGAAAACUCGGGGCUUAACCCCGAGCCUGCUUCUGAUACGGGCAGACUAGAGGUAUGCAGGGGAGAACGGAAUUCCUGGUGUAGCGGUGAAAUGCGCAGAUAUCAGGAGGAACACCAGUGGCGAAGGCGGCUCACUGGCCCGAUACUGACGCUGAGGCACGAAAGCGUGGGGAGCAAACAGG
rnacentral:rRNA from 1 species